UUAAGUUAUUAAGGGCGCACGGUGGAUGCCUUGGCACUAGAAGCCGAUGAAGGACGUUACUAACGACGAUAUGCUUUGGGGAGCUGUAAGUAAGCUUUGAUGCAGAGAUUUCCGAAUGGGGAAACCCAGCAUGAGUUAUGUCAUGUUAUCGAUAUGUGAAUACAUAGCAUAUCAGAAGGCACACCCGGAGAACUGAAACAUCUUAGUACCCGGAGGAAGAGAAAGAAAAUUCGAUUCCCUUAGUAGCGGCGAGCGAAACGGGAAGAGCCCAAACCAACAAGCUUGCUUGUUGGGGUUGUAGGACACUCUAUACGGAGUUACAAAGGACGACAUUAGACGAAUCAUCUGGAAAGAUGAAUCAAAGAAGGUAAUAAUCCUGUAGUCGAAAAUGUUGUCUCUCUUGAGUGGAUCCUGAGUACGACGGAGCACGUGAAAUUCCGUCGGAAUCUGGGAGGACCAUCUCCUAAGGCUAAAUACUCUCUAGUGACCGAUAGUGAACCAGUACCGUGAGGGAAAGGUGAAAAGCACCCCGGAAGGGGAGUGAAAUAGAACCUGAAACCGUGUGCUUACAAGUAGUCAGAGCCCGUUAAUGGGUGAUGGCGUGCCUUUUGUAGAAUGAACCGGCGAGUUACGAUUUGAUGCAAGGUUAAGCAGUAAAUGUGGAGCCGUAGCGAAAGCGAGUCUGAAUAGGGCGUUUAGUAUUUGGUCGUAGACCCGAAACCAGGUGAUCUACCCUUGGUCAGGUUGAAGUUCAGGUAACACUGAAUGGAGGACCGAACCGACUUACGUUGAAAAGUGAGCGGAUGAACUGAGGGUAGCGGAGAAAUUCCAAUCGAACCUGGAGAUAGCUGGUUCUCUCCGAAAUAGCUUUAGGGCUAGCCUCAAGUGAUGAUUAUUGGAGGUAGAGCACUGUUUGGACGAGGGGCCCCUCUCGGGUUACCGAAUUCAGACAAACUCCGAAUGCCAAUUAAUUUAACUUGGGAGUCAGAACAUGGGUGAUAAGGUCCGUGUUCGAAAGGGAAACAGCCCAGACCACCAGCUAAGGUCCCAAAAUAUAUGUUAAGUGGAAAAGGAUGUGGCGUUGCCCAGACAACUAGGAUGUUGGCUUAGAAGCAGCCAUCAUUUAAAGAGUGCGUAAUAGCUCACUAGUCGAGUGACACUGCGCCGAAAAUGUACCGGGGCUAAACAUAUUACCGAAGCUGUGGAUUGUCCUUUGGACAAUGGUAGGAGAGCGUUCUAAGGGCGUUGAAGCAUGAUCGUAAGGACAUGUGGAGCGCUUAGAAGUGAGAAUGCCGGUGUGAGUAGCGAAAGACGGGUGAGAAUCCCGUCCACCGAUUGACUAAGGUUUCCAGAGGAAGGCUCGUCCGCUCUGGGUUAGUCGGGUCCUAAGCUGAGGCCGACAGGCGUAGGCGAUGGAUAACAGGUUGAUAUUCCUGUACCACCUAUAAUCGUUUUAAUCGAUGGGGGGACGCAGUAGGAUAGGCGAAGCGUGCGAUUGGAUUGCACGUCUAAGCAGUAAGGCUGAGUAUUAGGCAAAUCCGGUACUCGUUAAGGCUGAGCUGUGAUGGGGAGAAGACAUUGUGUCUUCGAGUCGUUGAUUUCACACUGCCGAGAAAAGCCUCUAGAUAGAAAAUAGGUGCCCGUACCGCAAACCGACACAGGUAGUCAAGAUGAGAAUUCUAAGGUGAGCGAGCGAACUCUCGUUAAGGAACUCGGCAAAAUGACCCCGUAACUUCGGGAGAAGGGGUGCUCUUUAGGGUUAACGCCCAGAAGAGCCGCAGUGAAUAGGCCCAAGCGACUGUUUAUCAAAAACACAGGUCUCUGCUAAACCGUAAGGUGAUGUAUAGGGGCUGACGCCUGCCCGGUGCUGGAAGGUUAAGAGGAGUGGUUAGCUUCUGCGAAGCUACGAAUCGAAGCCCCAGUAAACGGCGGCCGUAACUAUAACGGUCCUAAGGUAGCGAAAUUCCUUGUCGGGUAAGUUCCGACCCGCACGAAAGGCGUAACGAUUUGGGCACUGUCUCAACGAGAGACUCGGUGAAAUCAUAGUACCUGUGAAGAUGCAGGUUACCCGCGACAGGACGGAAAGACCCCGUGGAGCUUUACUGUAGCCUGAUAUUGAAAUUCGGCACAGCUUGUACAGGAUAGGUAGGAGCCUUUGAAACGUGAGCGCUAGCUUACGUGGAGGCGCUGGUGGGAUACUACCCUAGCUGUGUUGGCUUUCUAACCCGCACCACUUAUCGUGGUGGGAGACAGUGUCAGGCGGGCAGUUUGACUGGGGCGGUCGCCUCCUAAAAGGUAACGGAGGCGCUCAAAGGUUCCCUCAGAAUGGUUGGAAAUCAUUCAUAGAGUGUAAAGGCAUAAGGGAGCUUGACUGCGAGACCUACAAGUCGAGCAGGGUCGAAAGACGGACUUAGUGAUCCGGUGGUUCCGCAUGGAAGGGCCAUCGCUCAACGGAUAAAAGCUACCCCGGGGAUAACAGGCUUAUCUCCCCCAAGAGUUCACAUCGACGGGGAGGUUUGGCACCUCGAUGUCGGCUCAUCGCAUCCUGGGGCUGUAGUCGGUCCCAAGGGUUGGGCUGUUCGCCCAUUAAAGCGGUACGCGAGCUGGGUUCAGAACGUCGUGAGACAGUUCGGUCCCUAUCCGUCGUGGGCGUAGGAAAUUUGAGAGGAGCUGUCCUUAGUACGAGAGGACCGGGAUGGACAUACCUCUGGUGUACCAGUUGUCGUGCCAACGGCAUAGCUGGGUAGCUAUGUGUGGACGGGAUAAGUGCUGAAAGCAUCUAAGCAUGAAGCCCCCCUCAAGAUGAGAUUUCCCAACUUCGGUUAUAAGAUCCCUCAAAGAUGAUGAGGUUAAUAGGUUCGAGGUGGAAGCAUGGUGACAUGUGGAGCUGACGAAUACUAAUCGAUCGAAGACUUAAUCAA
rnacentral:rRNA from 1 species